GACGAACGCUGGCGGCGUGCCUAAUACAUGCAAGUAGAACGCACAGUUUAUACCGUAGCUUGCUACACCAUAGACUGUGAGUUGCGAACGGGUGAGUAACGCGUAGGUAACCUGCCUGGUAGCGGGGGAUAACUAUUGGAAACGAUAGCUAAUACCGCAUAAUAUUAAUUAUUGCAUGAUAAUUAAUUGAAAGGUGCAAUUGCACCACUACCAGAUGGACCUGCGUUGUAUUAGCUAGUAGGUGAGGUAACGGCUCACCUAGGCGACGAUACAUAGCCGACCUGAGAGGGUGAGCGGCCACACUGGGAGUGAGACACGGCCCAGACUCCUACGGGAGGCAGCAGUAGGGAAUCGUCGGCAAUGGACGAAAGUCUGACCGAGCAACGCCGCGUGAGUGAAGAAGGAUUUCGGAUCGUAAAGCUCUGUUGUAAGAGAAGAACGGGUGUGAGAGUGGAAAGUUCACACUGUGACGGUAUCUUACCAGAAAGGGACGGCUAACUACGUG
rnacentral:rRNA from 1 species